UACGAAGGGUGCAAACGUUGCUCGGAAUUAUUGGGCGUAAAGCGCACGUAGGCGGCAAUUCAAGUCGGAUGUGAAAUCCCUCGGCUCAACCAAGGAAGUGCAUCCGAAACUGGAUUGCUUGAGUACCAAAGAGGAUCGCGGAAUUCCCGGUGUAGAGGUGAAAUGCGUAGAUAUCGGGAGGAACACCAGUGGCGAAGGCGACUACCUGGCCUGUUCUUGACGCUGAGGCGCGAAAGCUAGGGGAGCAAACGGG
rnacentral:rRNA from 1 species